CACAGACAUUCGCUGAAUCCCGGUCUUGCCGGGUACGGAGGAACCAAUUCUGGGGUUAAUCUAUGGAAAACCAUAGUAGGGAACCUUCUGUCCCGAGCCCGUCAGCUAACUUCGGAGGCAGGCAUUAUUAAACUU
rnacentral:sRNA from 2 species